rnacentral:lncRNA from 12 species
AUUUUAUUUAUUUACUUGACAGAGAGAGAGCAGAGGUGGGAGUAGGGACAGAGGCAGAGGGAAAAGCAGGCUCCCUGCUCAGCAAGGAGCCUAAUGCGGGGCUCGAUUCCAGGACUCUGGACCAUGACCUGAGCCCAAAGCAGACACUUGAUCAACUGAGCCACCCAGGUGCCCCCUCAUGUCUGUUUACAGAAGAGGAACCCGGGGUGAGUGCCAGUGUCUGGGUGGACUGAAGCCCAGAGAGAACCCAGCCACUCUGGGACCCUGGUCGUGUUACAGCCACAUCCCGGGCACAUUUGGAAAACACAUGGGAGGGGCGGUAGGGGUGGUCGAGGUACAUCUGGAGUCCUGGGUCCUCACAUGUCAGCCUUUGUGACACACACUGUUAUGUCAGCAGCCCCUCCUUGACCAGUUCAGAAGGUCUGGGGCCAUCCAUGUGCACCCUCUUGGGGCCUUGACUUGGCAUGGGAGACAUUCAGCCGCCCAGACUAUGGAGAGGAACUUCCAGAAACUGCCCAAGCAUUUGUGAAGGGAUGUGGAAGCUGCCCAUGGUGGGGCCUGGCUCUCCCCAGAUUUGCUGGGGACAUUUGUCACGGAGCCGUCAUGGCUGGAGAGGAGCCAGGCUGGAGCACACAUGCUUGUCCUGGUUCUCCAGGACACUGUCUUUCCAGUUCCGAUGUGCAGCGAUCUUCGGCUGGGACUGGCAGAAGGCUGUGCUACCGACAUGCACUCGGCAAUGCUUCUGUGCAAGUGAAGGAGCCAGGAAGUGGGGCAGUGAGGCUGGGGUCAAGGCCCAGGGCACCCCAGGAGCAUUUCCCCAGGCCUCUGGUCAGCCAGCGCUGGGGGCCUCAAGUGGACCCAUGCGAAUCCAAGGUGGACAAGUGCUGAAAGGGAACAGCAGGGGUGUUGCAACAAGCUGAAUGAAUAUCUACACCCAACAUGCGGCUCAAGCUCAUGACCCAACAUCAAGAGUCCCAGGCUGCAUGACUGAACCCACCAGGCAGAGAGAGAGAGGCCAGAGGAGGCCAGAGUCCUGGAGGAGGGCUCUGGGGGCUGUGUCUGUGGGGCCAGCAGAGGGAUGCCCAUGUGCGCCAUCUGUCCCAGCCUCCCGGACAGGCGUGUGUCCUGGUGUCUUUUCCAGGAUGUGGCUGGCCGCUUUGUGCUGGCAUUGCUGAAACCCCACAGCCCUGCAGUGCUUCAUCUGCGCUCACCCAGGGGGUUUCGUUGUGACUCACUUUGGCCGGCAUGCCCUCCUGUUCCUGCAUCCCCACAAAGCCAUAGGGGGAUCAGGCUGCCCAGUGAGAGGAUACAGUGGGCACCAAGGGCCCACUCUGAGUGGGUAGCAGGGGAGAAGCACACAGGUGUGCAAGCCAGCCUCCUCCCCGCCACCCCACAGAGGCUGUGCCCUCGCAGCCAGUGGCCACUACUCUGUGAGCCACAGACCGUGGUCCUGACUUCCUACCCGGGAUAGUGCUCUAGAGACGUCUUCAAAGCCCUCUUUGUUCCCGUGGUCAGUGUGGGGCAUUGAAAGGCCAGGCUCCACCACCCAGCUCCCCUCCCAAACUCCCCUGGUUUGCUGCUGCUGAGCCCAGAAACAUGUCCUGACCACUGGUCAAACGUGGGCCUGCCACAGGUCAGACCCCUGGGGACCCUGGCCGGUGCACCAUUUCUGACAACCAUCACUUUCCAUUCUCACAGAUUUCUCCCUGAGGACCUCCUCCUUCCCCUGGCUCAACUAUGCACCCUUUAGGCCCACUGCCUCAGGGUCUUACUAGGAAUGAUUGCUUCUCUUUUAAUUGAAUGUGGAAAUGUGUUCCAUCCAAGUGGCACUGUUAUUAUUUGAUGUUGAAUUCCAAGUAAAAUAAAAAUUAAAAUUCUCUGUGCUGGCUCA